rnacentral:rRNA from 1 species
UACGUAGGCAGCGAGCGUUGUUCGGAGUUACUGGGCGUAAAGCGUGCGUAGGCGGUUUUGUAAGUUUGGUGUGAAAUCUCCCGGCUCAACUGGGAGGGUGCGCCGAAAACUGCAAGGCUGGAGUAUGGGAGAGGUAGGCGGAAUUCCUGGUGUAGCGGUGAAAUGCGUAGAUAUCAGGAGGAACACCUGUGGUGUAGACGGCUUACUGGACCAUGACUGACGCUGGAGGCACGGAAAGCGUGGGGAGCAAACAGG